GUGCCAGCAGCCGCGGUAAGACGAACCGUCCGAACGUUAUUCGGAAUCACUGGGCUUACAGAGUUCGUAGGCGGUCCGGCAAGUUGGGUGUGAAAUCCCUUGGCUCAACCAAGGAACUGCGCUUGAUACUGCCGGACUCGAGGGAGAUAGAGGAAAGCGGAACUGAUGGUGGAGCGGUGAAAUGCGUUGAUAUUAUCAGGAACACCGGUGGCGAAGGCGGCUUUCUGGGUCUCUUCUGACGCUGAGGAACGAAAGCUAGGGGAGCGAACGGGAUUAGAUACCCCAGUAGUCC
rnacentral:rRNA from 1 species